AGGGCUGUAAACUCAGCGGCAGAUUAUCUGCUUGCUUUGCAUGCAGAAGGUCCCAGGUUCAAUCUCCGGCAGCCCCU